GUCCCUAUCGUCUAGAGGCCUAGGACAUCGCCCUUUCACGGCGGUAACCGGGGUUCGAAUCCCCGUAGG
rnacentral:tRNA from 1 species